CCUGGCUUCCCGGAAGUGCCCGACUGGGUGACAGAGCCCAGGCUGGCUGGAGCGCUGCUGCUGGAGGGUUGCUGUUCUGGGGCGUGGGUGGCUGCAGGACGUGCGGCUCGGGGAAGGGGUGGGCGCCGGGAGGGAGCUGGGCGGCAGGAUGAUGGAGGAGGAGGAACUGGAGUUCGUGGAGGAGCUGGAAGCCGUGCUGCAGCUCACGCCCGACGUGCAGCUCGCCAUCGAGCAGGUAUUUCCAAGCCAGGAUCCUCUAGAUCGAGCAGAUUUCAAUGCUGUGGAGUAUAUCAACACCCUGUUCCCAACAGAGCAAUCUCUGGCAAACAUCGAUGAAGUCGUGAACAAAAUUAGACUGAAAAUAAGGAGACUGGAUGACAGCAUUCGAACUGUCGUAAGAGGUCAAACAAAUGUGGGGCAGGAUGGCCGGCAAGCACUUGAAGAGGCCCAGAAAGCGAUUCAGCAACUCUUUGGAAAAAUCAAAGACAUCAAGGACAAAGCAGAAAAAUCGGAGCAAAUGGUGAAGGAAAUCACCCGCGACAUCAAGCAGUUAGAUCACGCCAAACGCCACCUGACCACUUCGAUCACGACGCUGAACCACCUGCACAUGCUGGCGGGCGGCGUUGAUUCCCUCGAAGCCAUGACCAGGAGAAGGCAGUAUGGAGAAGUUGCUAAUCUUCUUCAGGGCGUAAUGAAUGUUCUGGAGCACUUCCACAAAUAUAUGGGAAUUCCACAGAUCCGGCAGCUUUCUGAAAGAGUGAAGGCUGCCCAGACCGAGUUAGGACAGCAAAUCCUGGCCGAUUUCGAAGAAGCAUUUCCUUCCCAGGGUACCAAGAGGCCAGGAGGACCCAGCAAUGUCCUACGAGAUGCUUGUCUGGUUGCUAAUAUUUUGGACCCCAGAGUCAAGCAGGAAAUCAUCAAAAAGUUUAUUAAACAGCAUCUGUCAGAGUAUCUAGUACUUUUUCAAGAAAACCAAGAUGUUGCCUGGCUGGACAAAAUUGACCGGCGCUAUGCCUGGAUCAAGCGCCAGCUUGUGGACUACGAGGAGAAAUACGGCCGGAUGUUCCCGCGAGAGUGGUACAUGGCGGAGAGGAUUGCAGUAGAAUUUUGCCACGUCACAAGGACAGAACUGGCCAAGAUCAUGCGCACCAGAGCUAAGGAAAUUGAAGUGAAAUUGCUUCUCUUUGCUAUUCAGAGAACGACUAACUUUGAGGGGUUUCUUGCAAAACGCUUCUCCGGGUGUACCCUGACAGAUGGAACUCUGAAAAAACUCGAGUCUCCACUCGCAUCCACCAAUCCCUUCCUAGAAGAUGAGCCAGCACCAGAGAUGGAGGAACUGGCGAUGGAAAAAGGAGACGUAGAGCAACCAAAGAAGCCUAAAGCCCCAGACAAUCCAUUUCACGGCAUUGUUUCCAAGUGUUUUGAGCCUCAUCUCUACGUGUAUAUUGAGUCCCAGGACAAAAACCUUGGGGAGCUGAUAGAUCGGUUUGUGGCUGAUUUCAAAGCCCAGGGGCCACCUAAGCCCAACACGGACGAGGGGGGCGCCGUGCUCCCCAGCUGUGCCGACCUCUUUGUCUACUACAAGAAGUGCAUGGUGCAGUGCUCGCAGCUCAGUACCGGGGAGCCGAUGAUCGCCCUGACCACUAUUUUCCAGAAGUACCUCCGAGAGUACGCCUGGAAAAUCCUCUCUGGCAACCUGCCCAAAACCACAAGCAGCGGCGGUGGGUUGACCAUCAGCAGCCUCCUCAAGGAAAAGGAGGGCUCAGAAGUGGCCAAGUUCACCCUGGAGGAGCUCUGCCUCAUAUGCAGCAUCCUGAGCACUGCAGAGUACUGCUUGGCCACCACCCAGCAGCUGGAAGAGAAACUCAAGGAGAAGGUCGACAUAAGCCUGACUGAACGAAUCAAUCUGACUGGAGAAAUGGACACAUUCAGCACUGUCAUCUCCAGCAGCAUUCAGCUGUUGGUUCAGGAUCUCGAUGCUGCCUGUGACCCCGCCCUGACAGCCAUGAGCAAGAUGCAGUGGCAGAAUGUGGAGCAUGUUGGAGACCAGAGCCCCUACGUCACCUCUGUCAUUCUUCACAUUAAACAGAACGUCCCCAUCAUCCGUGACAACCUGGCUUCCACGCGGAAAUACUUCACACAGUUCUGCAUUAAAUUUGCAAACUCCUUCAUUCCCAAGUUCAUCACCCACCUCUUCAAGUGCAAGCCAAUUAGCAUGGUGGGAGCAGAACAGCUGCUGCUGGACACCCACUCCCUGAAGAUGGUCCUGCUCGAUCUGCCUUCCAUCGGCUCUCAGGUGGUGAGGAAAGCCCCAGCCAGUUACACAAAGAUCGUGGUGAAAGGCAUGACCCGAGCGGAGAUGAUCCUCAAGGUCGUGAUGGCCCCUCACGAGCCGUUGGUGGUGUUUGUGGACAACUACAUCAAACUCCUGACGGACUGCAACACAGAAACCUUCCAGAAGAUCCUGGACAUGAAGGGGCUGAAAAGGAGCGAGCAGAGCAGCAUGCUGGAUCUCUUCCGCCAGAGGCUCCCCACCCCGCCCUCAGGGCCCGAAGGCUCCAGCUCUCUGUCCCUCCUGGCUCCAACUCCAGAACAGGAGUCAUCUCGCAUCCGCAAACUGGAGAAACUAAUUAAAAAGAGACUGUAGGAGCGUCCAAGGGGCACUUUUCUCCCAGCCAGUGACACACCCCCCACCAGCACCCACAUCCCCGGAAGCCCCCCACCUCUCCUGUGCUUCCCCGACUCUCAGAUCAUCAGUCUUGAAACUUGCUGGGGCAUUUGGGUCAUUCACAUGUUUCUCCCAUGUCCUGUCUUAAUUCCUGUCCUAAUCGGAGAAGACGGGUAACAGCCAGAUUAUAAAAAGGCAGUUGAGAUGGUCCCUGAUUCCUGCAGCAGAGGUAGCUGGGGGUGAAGGUUCCGUGUGCUUCACUUGCUGGUCCCGGGCUGCCCCCGACUGGUCCAGUUGUCGCUGACUCUGUAGCCUCACCCCCGCAGUCACACCCUCUGGCAUGUGGUCCUGUUCCUUUCCAUGCUUCUAUCCCAGCACCGUGGGUGAGAAAGCCUGGAACUCACCCCUUCCUCCACAUGCAGCUGUGUGAGAUUCCCUCUGCGGCCGGACCGUUAAGAGAUGUCGCCUGGGCUUGGCUCUAGGGCCCAAGUUAUGAAGUGGAAGAUUACAGGUGUGAUGGAAGAAAGAGGUGUGGCCUUUAGCUAAGCCCUAGUAGGGAAAGCUGGCUAAAUAAGAAAAGCGCUGGAAGGGCAGGGAAGGGGCUAGGGGGGCACGUGGGCAGCUCAGUCGAUAGAUUUCACUCUGCCCAGAUAGCCAUGGUGUGGCUCUGGUAAGGUUAUCCAGCCCGAGCUAAUUGAGGUUAACAUUCUCUUCCCACUCUUGAAAGAAGGGAUGAUGGGCCCAUCUCCAAACAGCCACUUCAGCCAUCUGUCCUCGGCCUGGGAGCUGGAAACCCAGUGGACUCCCACACCUGGUUCUUGUCACUCUCAGUGUUUACAGAUCCACACUCCUCUUUGUGUUUCAUCAUGAGGAGUCAUUUUCUGGAAGUCUCCAUAAUGGCAUUGAGAUGUCAAGCUGCCGUUUUGCACCCCGGGUGGUGGUCGCAGCCAGGGAAGUUGCUUUCUUGAUUUAUUACACUGUCAGUAAGCUCCCAGGAGCCAGCAGAAGUCAGUAGGAGUUACGUUAAGUGUCUCGUUGAUGGGCGCUGCAUGCCCUGUGUGCGUCCCGUACAGACAGAGCAUGUUUCUCAUCUGGGGGGUCUGCAUCGGAAUCACCUGGGGCUCUUUUUUUUUUUUUUUACAAGUACAGAUGUAUGGAGAUUGUGAAUCAGUGAAGUCUGGAGUGGGGCCCAGCAUCUAGGUUUAAAAGUUCCAUACGUGAUUAUAACGCUUACUUCUUGUGAAGAACCAUUGUAACAGAAAUUUGCUCUAUUGAAGGGUUCCUAUUGCACAUUUUCAUAACUGUAUAUCCUUUCUGACUCUAAGCAAGUGUAAUUACUGUAUAACUGAGCUGGUACCCAAAUGGUAAAGGUUUUUCUUUUUGCUGAUAGCCAGCAGCUUGAGUUUUGAAUUUGUGUUGGUGGUAGGGACCAUGGCAGAAAUCAUGCUGUCCCCAUACUGACUAGGAUUCUUCUUGUUUUGAUGAUCAAGCCCCAAACAGAAGGUUUAUUUAUUACUGUCACUUUGAAAUAAUAUAUAUAAAGGAGCACUCAUUGAUUAAAAACAGUAGCUAACAACUCUGUUAUUCAGUUAAAUUAUAUAGAUACUGUACCGGUUCCUUCCCUCCGCUUUCUCUAGCCCCUUAAAAAAAAAAAAAACUUAAAGUCACCUUAUGUGGUUAAAAUAAAUAUUCGUAAUUUAUAAUUGAUAAAGAGUUCACUGCUGUUUUUACUCUGGACAGACUUCCUGAUUGCUCGUUAGAGGUGCCCAGGCUGGAGAAAGUUCUGUUUGGAUCAUAACAGGGAAACGGGAACCACCAUGGACGGGGUGUUUUGACCUCUAAAUUCAGUUCUGGAAUUGAAGCUGUUGCCACGCCUCCCUCUCUUGAAGAACAAAGACCCAGUACCUGGGGCUUUCCCAGGAAAGGGCACCGACUUUCUCAUGCCUCGGGCAGCUCCUCGGUGCAGGUGGAACAGGACCGAAAGCAGACGUCCAAGGACCAAUAAAACAGAACAGGCUAUGGGAAAGAAUUAGCGAGCCCGUGAAGCCCGGGCUCCCCUCUCAGCAUCUGCCCUUCUGCCUGGUGAAGAUGUGCCCAUUCCCUGACAGCACGAAACCAGAAUGUGAUGUUCCUCAGCGAGGUCCCGGCAUGUCCAGCGGUGGUGGAAACCCUCUGUAAAUAGGUAUAAAGCGUUCUGCUUCUGAUAUGGAAUCCUCCCCGUGCUCCGAAUUUCUACCCCGUUGACUUUCCCUUCUCCACCCCCCGGCUCCAAUCACAGCCUGCUUCUCCAUGUGACUGCCAGAGGCCUUGUGUCCUGUGCACAGUAAGUCAAUCCGGUUUCCUUAAUAGCUGGGUGGGCAUUUUGCAGCGAACCUCUGGGGAAGUCUGAUGUUCCCCUCAGCCCUGGAAAGUCUGCGGCAGCACUUCCAUUAGGUUGGCUUCAAGAUCAUUCCCUAGUUUCCAUUCUUUAUUUUCACCAGCUCACCACUUCGGUAGGGUAGCCAGAAAUCCAUCUGAUGAGAAAAGAAACAUUUCCGUACACCCCACCCAGAAGAACGCUGCCAGACGAUUGACCCACCAGGUUCUCUUCCUUCUCACAUACAUAACCAGGGGCACCAGGUGAAAUGGUGGAGAGAAACUCCAGCUUCUGCUUGGUUGCUUUGUGCUGAUGGAAAAGGAAGGCCCUUCUCAAGCAGAGGGGAAGCGCACCACCUGCUAAAGAGACCGCAUUCCAAGGAAUUCUUCACUAAAGUCCUGCGAUUGGCCUGGGGCAGCCGCGGAAGCGCUUUAGCAGGCAAAUGGAAAAAUGGCCAAUGUUGUGUAAAGAAAACAUGAGUGCACACACAGAGACACCCCCCUCCCCCAGCCUCAUACCCACUCCCUGCUGCAACCCUGGCACUGCUCUCAACGGAUCCCAAGUGUCGGCCCCUCGGCUGGCUGGCUUGCUCAGUCGUCAGAGAAGGGCGCUAAUGGGCCUUAUGGUCCCCGUGGAUUAAGCCCUGGGCCAUAGUUGCAGCCCAGCUACUGUCUGGCAUGCAAGUAAUACCUGAUUGUGAGCGGGCCUGAGAGAUCCAGGCCAUUCCAUGCUAUUGGGUGGGGAGGGAACUGAGUAUUUACUGCCUCCUGGGUAGUUAAGAGACCUCACUGGAUCAAAACCCCUGUUAAGUGGGUAUGAUUUUAUGGAUGUGGACCUGGAAGCCUGGGGGGCAAAUGAUGUGCCCAAGGCUGUGCGUGGCAGAGCCAGGAUUGGUGUCAUCCAUGCUCUUUGCACUUCACAAGUGGUUUUCAAAUUUAUGAGACCCAACUUUACAUGGGACUCUCUACGAAUAGAUAAAAGUAUU